GCAGCUUCCAGCCAUUCCUUGGGUCCUAUCCUGGUCAGCAGAGAGAAGAUUAGCAGUGUCUAAUGCACUAGCAGUGCCUUAUCUUCCUUGAGCGGGGUGUUCACGACUACAAUGUAAAUUAAUCUCCAGGGGUCUGCUGAAGCAAAUGAGGAAUGCCAGAAGUGGAGAUGCAAGAGAAGAUGUCAGAGACAGAGAUUCCCAGUGUGCAGCUCCAUGGCAGCUUUAACAUCAUGAGGAAGUUAUUUACGGAAGGCACUGUAGGUGGGAAAAAGAAAAUUCCAUCCAUUCGAAAAGCUGGCAGCUUACGCAGCUCCUUGUGUGCUAGAUAUCUCUGAAGAGAAGCUGCUGUUUCCAUAACGCUCUGGAACAGCAACACAAACUCAAAGAACUGAUUUAUGCCCUAUUUCUACUGUCGUGCAAAUUGGAAAGUUUCAAAAGCCUUAGCAAUCUGAUGCAAAUAGCAAGGUUAUAAUUGGAAGCUGAUUUCCAUGUGUGUAUGUUGUAUGCAUUACUUCAGACAAUGUACAGAUCUCUACAAGCAAAAAGAAGUUGCAUGCAUUUACUAAUGACUAAGGACAGCCAUGUUU